rnacentral:sRNA from 1 species
GAACGCAUUGGCGAUGUCCAGGGACACC